rnacentral:tRNA from 1 species
GAGGUUAGUUGGUUAAAGCGCCUGUCUGGUAAACAGGAGAUCCUGAGUUCGUAUCUCGGCG